rnacentral:rRNA from 1 species
GAUGAACGCUGGCGGCGUGCCUAAUACAUGCAAGUCGAGCGAAUGGAUUAAGAGCUUGCUCUUAUGAAGUUAGCGGCGGACGGGUGAGUAACACGUGGGUAACCUGCCCAUAAGACUGGGAUAACUCCGGGAAACCGGGGCUAAUACCGGAUAACAUUUUGAACCGCAUGGUUCGAAAUCGAAAGGCGGCUUCGGCUGUCACUGAUGGAUGGACCCGCGUAACAUUAGCUAGUUGGUGAGGUAACGGCUCACCAAGGCAACGAUGCGUAGCCGACCUGAGAGGGUGAUCGGCCACACUGGGACUGAGACACGGCCCAGACUCCUACGGGAGGCAGCAGUAGGGAAUCUUCCGCAAUGGACGAAAGUCUGACGGAGCAACGCCGCGUGAGUGAUGAAGGCUUUCGGGUCGUAAAACUCUGUUGUUAGGGAAGAACAAGUGCUAGUUGAAUAAGCUGGCACCUUGACGGUACCUAACCAGAAAGCCACGGCUAACUACGUGCCAGCAGCCGCCGUAA